rnacentral:lncRNA from 1 species
GUUCUUUUUUAUGGCUGCAUAGUAUUCCAUUGUAUAUAGGUACCAUUCUUAAUCCAUUCAUGCAUCGAUGGACAUUUUGGUUGUUUCCAUAUCUGGGCCAUGGUGAAUAGUGCUGCUGUGAACAUGUGGGUGCAUAUAUCUUUUUGAAUUGUAGUUUUGUCCAGAUAUAUGCUCAGGAGUGGGAUUAUUGGAUCAUCUGGAGAAACACAGCUUUAAUGAGGCAAGUGUGCUAGUACAGAAGUUCCCAAAGACGGGAAGGACAGAGAAGACUUCCUGGAAGAAAGGAUGCCUGACCCGAAGCUUGAAGGAGGUCUCUAUGUUUAGAGAGGUCUGGUUAGUUUUCCAUAGCUGGACGUGCAGACAUCAUGGAAAGCAGGACCUUAAGUGUACACUGGGGUCCUGGGGAUUCAACCAGAGCGACUUCUAGGAAACACAACACUGGUGUCCUUGGAACUGCCUUGCACGAGCCCUUUGGUUGCUUGAUCUCUUGGCUUCUGGAUGCAGUCCAGCAUGAACCGCCUCAGCCCACAUUCCACCCUCACUCAAAUGUUGCUCUUUUUCAUAGCUCUUCAACGAGGACACCUACUAAGUUGGCUCAUGUAGGGGCUUAAGGCAUAGUUUUUCAGAUGAAAAAGAGAAGUAUCGGCUUGUCUUGUGCAACAGUGUGGGCUUAGUAUGGUCAUGAUGAGAUAAUGAUACCUAAUUCAGUUAUCACUCUAUAGACCAAGAAAUAUCUUAGAGCUAAUGUUUACCCAAGCUUCAGUGUAAUUACAUUUACAUUGCUAGCCUAGAUAUUGAUUUGACUCAGCCGGUUUUAUAAGAGUAAAUGAUUUGGAUGGGAAGAGACAGAAAGAUGUGACUUUUCAAGGGAAAAACAAACAAACACAUCAGACUGACCUGCAGAAUUGAAGUAAAUAGUUCAGGCUGCUUAUUAAGCAUUUGUGUGCAUUUUUGCCUCAACUCUCUGGUUAAACACUUCUCCAAAGCAUUCAUGCUUGAGUGAAUCGUUCUAGAAGUCUAGACUUAAAGAGCUAGGGCACAGGUUUUUGGGGUUUUUUUUAAUCUUUUUUUUUUUUCCAAUUAUAUUCUUUUUUCCAAAGACAAGGAUCUUGCCUGAAGUACAAACAUAAUGAAAGGCCUGUGAUGUGUAAGCCUAACAGAAGUUGUUUGUUUUUUCUGUCUUAAUACUCAUAUUUAAUUACAACCUUAGGGAAGCCUUCAGCUCUCAGUCCGACCUACUUGAAAUCAGUGGAGAAAAUAGCAAUAUCACCCCUAAGCAACCAUUCAUAAUAACUUUGACUCUUUCCUAAAGCCCAGAGGAAACGUAGUUCUCCAUUCUGGGCCAAGCUUGUCAGGAACAAUUUGCAUUAAUAAAUCUUUUUCAUGUAAGGAUUCAAUUGAACAAUCCUAUCAUUCAUCAUAAUAUAUAGUUGGAAUAAGGACCUUCAUUAGCUAUGUAGGUUGAAGUGAUUUGAAUGACAAAUGUGUUAUGACAUUUUUUUGUUUGUUUGUUUAAUUGGUCAAUAUUAAGCAUCUUAGGAACUGGACAGAGUUUUGGACAAUGAAAUUAUGUGUGGCCCCAUAAAUGGGUCUGAGGUUUCCCUAAAGACUUAAAGCUUGCUUUUUAGGGAUUUCCUACUUAUUACGAUAAGACUGCUGUCUAACUCCUCUGCUGUUUGUCACUCAGAGUAUUCUCUAAUUCUGCUCAGUUUCCAGUACCGCACACUUGGGGAGAUGGGAGAGGCAGCAUCAAGCAUCCCAUAUAUCUCUUGAAUUUAGGGGGGCUGCCAGGUUCCUACCAAGCCUGGGAGAAGCCUCUUCCCACAGGGCCCUAAAGAUUUAGAAGAGAUGGCAGCAGAGACCAUUAUGAGAAGUUUUCCCUGGCUACCUGUUCAUCUCCUCUAUUUAUUUUUGGAAAAUGCUUAGGAAACGUGUUUAUUAUUUGCUGUCAAACCACCCUAAAGAUACUUGGCUCCAUAAGCCUGCCUCCAGCUCCACCUCCUCUCUCUGAAAGGCCUUCUUGUCCCCUGGAAAGUGCUGGGCACUGAGUACUUGACAAUCUCUGGGCACUUCCUGUUCAACCUGUUUAUGUUUGCUCUAGAAAUGCCUUCUGGGUUGUUGCAUAAAGGUGGUUCUUCCCAUGGUCUUUCUCAUCUCAGUCAAAUGGCCACCCCAUCCUUCCAAUGGCCCAAGCCCCAAACUUGGUGUCAUCUUUGACUCUUUUUUGCUCUCACACCUGAUAUCUCUGCCAAUCAGUGGGGAAGGUCCCUUGGGAUACCUUCAAAGUUAGUUUUGGGAAUCCGACCUCUUCUCACCCCACCCCUCAUCCAAGCCACCAGCAUCUCUCCCCAGUCUUUCCACUCCCAUCCUUGGCCUUCUUAAAACUACAGCCACCAUGAUGCUUCUGAAGCCUAAGCCAAUGUCUGUCCUUCCUCCGGACUCGGUGCAUCUUAGCCCCCUGAUUACUUCCUAGAGGCCACGCAGAGAUGUCAAAAACUUUCCCAGGCCUGGGCUCCAUCCCUGCAGAUUUGGAUUCACUUGGUUUUAAAAGUUCCGCAGGUGAUUCCAGCAAUGGGCACCUCACAAUGGUCUGCGAGCCCUUCCCCACCCUGGCAGGUCCUCUGGCCUCACGUCCACUGCCCAGACCCACGCUCACUCUGUGCCCGCCCCUUGGCCUCCAUGCACACGGGGCAUGCUCCCACUUUGUCCUGGGAAUUCUCUUCCCAAUUCCCACCGGGCUGACUUUGCCUCCUUCAGCUCUCUGCUCGAAUAUCACCUCAGUGAGGCCUCUGAGCAGUGAGUCCCCCACCCGGCACGCAGUCCACCCUCCCGCUCCCUCUUUCCUGCUUUAUUUUUCUCCAUCGCACUCAUCACCAACCAGCUGACGUCCUGUGUAUUUUGAGCGUCACGAUGCUGUUCCACGAGGGCAGGAGGUUUUGGCAGGUUUUCUUGGGGGUUGUGUUCCCAGUGCCACGAACGAUAGAAAUAAAUAUUCGCAAAUAAAUAUUUAUCCAAUGAAUGAAGCACGCUCGGGAAGGAGCUGUGGGGCCGCCCCCUGUGAGCAGCGCUGAGGUGAGGCCCAAACAGGCAAGCGGUGCUGAGGACAGUUGCCUUGUUUUCUGCUUUGUCCCACUGUGACACGCUUCUUCACCCCCCGAAGCGCGUAAGAAGGGCUUGGCUGUAUUCAGUGAUGAAUGAACCAUCUGAGUACAUCCAAGUACCCCUUUUGCAUAUUUUUCCCAUCGUUUUAGGCAUCUCGUUUGGUCUUUACAGAAAGCUGUCCUGCUGGGUACAGGAGAGGCCGGAAGCCAGCCUGUCUCCUCUUAGCAUCUGCUAACAGAGUGAUGCCAAUUAGCAUGUGUCAAGGGCCUGAAAAGAAUCAGACUGGGCUUAAAAGGUAUCAGGCAGUCAGCCUGGCACAGAUUUAAUAAGCUGUCUGCUGCCUCUGGAGCAGGGGGGUUUUUUUGGUUUGUUUGUAUUUAUUUAUUUAUUUAUCUGUCUAGCUCUGUCAAGAGGCGUCCUGAUUGCUUUAGUGGUUACACAGCAGAGAUCCUGCAUUUACUCAGUGACUUCCGAAUGCAGUCAAAGAUGACCUCUGGGGUGACCGUGUGGUCCAAACAGAGCAAUUAACUCUUCUUGUCCAUAUGUGUAAACUUCCAGCAACUUCCAUGGCAAAGUACUUUCUGAAUUACUUCCUGGUAUGAGGAGAAAGUUAUAUCACCACGGAGAAAACCAGGUAAAAGAAGAACCCGGAAAGGGGUGGCCCCUCAGAAUAUCCACCUACUCCAGGGGAGGGGCAGGUGUGUGUGGUGGGUGGGAAGUGGCUGGUGAACCUUGAAAUGCGAGGUGGUGGGGGCGAUCAAAGAUGCAGCUGGGCUGGUGUCAGUGGCUCAUGGGGGUGGGGGGCAGGGGCACGGCCAAGCAGCCCUCUCCUCCCAUCAGGGUUUUCCGGAACAUCUACUGCUGCUCCCCUCCACCUGGACCCCUCUUGCUGUUCCCUUAAGAGUCUGUAGAAAACUAAACCCAAGAGAGUGGGGGUCAGCACACUGCUUACACGAGGCUACUCCUCUUGCCAUAUGAUCGUCUAUGCCAUAAAAGCAUUGUUUUCAGGUCCGCGCUAUUGUCAUCUUGUCAACUUAAUUUCUGGCUAUUAAUAAUAACCUCAAUGCAUAAAAAGUGACCACGCGAAACGGAAAGCUAACAUUUAGUGAGCCCUCACCCUGUGCCAGCCCCUGUCUUCAGUGUGUUCCAGGAAAUCCUCCGAAUGACCUCUGAAUGAGGGAUUACUUCAAAAGCCCCUGACCUGCCUGCAAACGAAUGCACAGAGAUUUAGAAACUGGCCCAAGGUCAUGCAGCUGGUCUCUGGCAGAGCCAGCGCUCACACGCAGCACUUCAUUUCAUCUAAUGUAGACAGGGCCACACUGAAGGAAGUACUAUGGAGCCAAAUUACACAGGAGAUGCUCAAAGAAAUGACUCCCCCAAGGCCAUACAGCUAUUAAGAAGCUAAGAUCCGAACCCAAGUUUGUCUGGUUUCAAAGCCCUUGGCUCUGCUUUAAUUGGUUUCUUGAGUAAAGACCACUCUUUUUUAUUCAUCAAUAGUAUUCUAAAUGUGGUAUUAUCGUGAGUUACCAUCGUGGCUCAGUGGAAAUGAAUCUAACUAGCAUCCAUGAGAUCCCAGGCCUCACUCCUUGGGUUGGGGAUCCAGCGUUGCUGUGAGCUGUGGUGUAGGCUGCAGAUGGCUCACGUCUGGUGUUGCUGUGGUGUAGGUCGGCAGCUGUAGCUCCGAUUCAACCCCUAGCCUGGAAUCCUCUAUAUGCCGUGUGGUCCUAAAAAAGAAAAAAAAAAAAAAAAUUGGUAUUAUAACUUCAGCUGGAAGCAGCAUCCAGAUAUAACUAGGUGUUAGGUUAAGAUUCUGUAAUUUUUAGCUUCACUAAAAAAAAAAAAGGGGGGAGUUCCCAUCAUGGCUCAGUGGCUAAUGAAUCUGAAUAGGAACCAUGAGGUUGCGGGGUUGAUCCCUGGCCUUGCUCAGUGGGUUAAGGAUCCGGCGUUGCCUUGAGCUGUGGUGUAGGCCCCAGAUGAAGCUCGGCUCCUGCAUUGCUGUGGCUCUGGCAUAGGCUGGAGGCUACAGCUCCGUCUGAACCCCUAGCCUGGGAACCUUCAUAUGCCUCUGGUGUGGCCCUAAAAAGACAAAAAAAAAAAAAAAAA